GACUGACUGAUAGUAUUUUCCUUUGGAAGAUCCUUUUAUAUUCUGUCUCUAUGAAAGAAGUGUUUUCAAUGAAAUAAGAUAUUUAUUCCAAAUCAAUCCUGCACCAGAAGCUCCAUUUCUGCAUUCGCUUCCAGAAAACACAGCAGCCGUAUGUGAAUUUGGGAGUGGUCCCACGAACCGGUUAUGAGACGAGGUUUUGGAGCUGGAUCACACCUGACACAACUGGCAUUGAAAACCUUAUUACCAAGAGCCUCUGGCACAAGGCUGCUAUGAAGAAAUACCCAAGACUGGGUACUUUCUCAACUUUCAAAUUGAGCUGUUCAGAAUGUGUGAAACAAUUUUAAGAUGAAGUCAAAGAUACUUGAAGCAGAAGCUGUAUCUGAGGAAGCUGUAUAUAAACCCAAUUUAAAGCAAGUUUAACCUGCUGAUUGGGAAGAAUUUUUAUGAAAAGCUGUGUGCUUCCUGAUAAGAAAAAAGGCUUUCCUGUUUCGAUCAAACCAGAACCAGAUGAGAACUCAGCACAGGCACUGCAGCCACGGAGGUUUCCAGAUAGAAAAAUUGACACCCCUGAGAUCCCAUAACAUUUUGGGGACUCAUCUGGGAUCUGCGGAAGGAGCUUGACUCUUUUCAUUGGCAAUAAAUGGCGCCCCAACAUGGGGACUCAGAGAAGACUCAGGAGCCCCAAGCAGUUGUCCGAAAUCAGAGCUAAGGUACCAGCCAGGGUUAAUUGAAGACUCACCAAGUUCAAGCUUCUCCUUUGGUGGAACUGUCUCCCUGGCUUGAAAUCAUUGCACCAGAAGAGGCACUGGGACACAGAGCUGAGAUUGAAGAACACUUGAAAAUUAUCAAGAAUGUACUGCGGAGUAUUGAAAUUGCAAGUUAUCAUCAAAGGAAGCUGUAAGCAUCAUGACUCAGUGAUGUAUUUUCUCUGUAUUUACCAUUUUAAACCAAAUUUAGUGUUCUCUCUGAAGGACAAUCUAAAUAAAGUAGUUGUAAAUUAAUUUAUAAUAAUGAAUAAAUAUUCAAACAAUUAUUUUGAUAGGUUUUAUCCAGCAGAAACUGAGAAAAUUUAAUCUUACAUGACAUUGGGAUGCUAUAUUAUUUGACAUGAAACAAAUAUUUUAAACCACACUUUUAAAUGGUGUAUAUUGCACUACCUUUUAAAAAAAAGAAAUAGAAGUUUUGAAUAAGAAAUAUUCCUUUUGUCUAUGAAAUAAAUUAAAAUGCUUUUC